ensembl:snoRNA
CCUGCCUUGGAGGCAUAGAGGGUGUGGCUGCUGUGUCACACGUGUGUCGGUAGGUGGCAGAGAGAGGAGAGGUUGUGUCCAUGCUCAUUGUUGCAACCUAUGAACACCUGAGUCUAUAGUAACCAAAAAGU